CAGUAGCUCAGUAGGACAGAGCGUUGGAUUCCUAAUCCGAAGGUCGCGGGUUCGACCCCCGCCUGG
rnacentral:tRNA from 1 species